rnacentral:rRNA from 1 species
UACAGAGGGGGCAAACGGUGCUCGGAAUUACUGGGCGUAAAGCGCGUGUAGGCUGAACGGCAAGUCAGACGUGAAAUCCCCGAGCUCAACCCGGGAACUGCGUCUGAAACUGCCGAUCUAGAGUGCCGGAGAGGGUGGCGGAAUUCCUGGUGUAGAGGUGAAAUUCGUAGAUAUCAGGAGGAACACCGGUGGCGAAGGCGGCCACCUGGACGGCGACUGACGCUGCGACGUGAAAGCGUGGGGAGCAAACAGG